AACGCUGGCGGCAGGCCUAACACAUGCAAGUCGAACGAAUGUAGCAAUACAUGAGUGGCGCACGGGAGAGUAACGCGUGGGAACCUACCUUUUGGUUCGGAAUAACGUCGGGAAACUGACGCUAAUACCGGAUAAGCCCCUCGGGGGAAAGAUUUAUCGCCGAAAGAUGGGCCCGCGUUAGAUUAGCUAGUUGGUGAGGUAACGGCCCACCAAGGCUACGAUCUAUAGCUGGUCUGAGAGGACGAUCAGCCUCACUGGGACUGAGACACGGCCCAGACUCCUACGGGAGGCAGCAGUGGGGAAUAUUGGACAAUGGGGGCAACCCUGAUCCAGCCAUGCCGCGUGAAUGAUGAAGGCCUUCGGGUUGUAAAAUUCUUUUGGUGGGGACGAUGAUGACGGUACCCACAGAAUAAGCUCCGGCUAACUUCGUGCCAGCAGCCGCGGUAAUACGAAGGGGGCUAGCGUUGUUCGGAAUUACUGGGCGUAAAGGGCGCGUAGGCGGCUUGAUAAGU
rnacentral:rRNA from 1 species